AUCACCUGGGGUUGUUGUUAAAAUGCAGAAUCUGAUUGGUAGGUCUGAGUGGGGGCCUGAGAUUCUGCAUUUCUACCAAGUUCCUGGGUGUUGCUGA
rfam:Pongo abelii chromosome 1.